CUCACGCGCACGCGCCUUGCGGGCGCACACGAGCCGGCUGUCCGAGGCGUGAGUUGGGCGGGGCGCCGCGCUGACGUUGCCCGGGAUGCGGGCAGGUUCCGCAGCCGUCUUCGCCACCUCCGUCUCUCCUGCCACUGGGAUUAUCUGCAAUGCUGGAAUGAAGUAACUCAAGAUGAGCAAGCUAAAAGUGGUAGGAGAGAAAAGCCUUGCCAAUAGUUCUCGGGUUGUGGGACUCCUGGCCCAGCUGGAGAAGAUCAAUACGGAUUCCACAGAGUCAGAUACUGUGAGAUAUGUUACAUCCAAAAUUCUUCAUUUGGCUCAAAGUCAAGAAAAAACAAGGAGGGAAAUGACAACCAAAGGUUCUACUGGCAUUGAAGUUCUGUUGUCAACAUUGGAGAAUACGAAAGAUCUUCAAACUAUACUUAAUAUCUUAAGUAUUCUUGUCGAGCUGGUAUCUUCUGGUGGAGGUCGAAGAGCAAGUUUCUUAGUUGCCAAGGGUGGAUCACAAAUAUUGUUACAACUGCUUAUGAACGCCAGCAAAGAGUCUCCCCCACAUGAGGAACUAAUGGUGCAGACUCAUUCCAUUCUUGCAAAGAUUGGACCAAAAGAUAAGAAAUUUGGAGUGAAAGCUAGAGUUAAUGGGGCACUGAAUGUAACUCUAAAUUUGGUCAAGCAGCACUUUCAGAACUAUCGCCUGGUUCUACCUUGUCUUCAGCUCUUGCGAGUGUAUUCUACCAACUCUGUGAACUCAGUAUCUUUAGGUAAAAAUGGAGUUGUGGAGCUGAUGUUUAAAAUCAUUGGACCAUUCAGUAAGAAGAAUUCGAGUCUUAUGAAGGUUGCUUUAGACACUCUUGCUGCAUUGCUAAAAUCAAAAACAAAUGCCAGGAGAGCCGUAGACAGAGGAUAUGUUCAAGUACUUUUAACAAUUUAUGUAGAUUGGCACCGCCACGAUAAUCGGCAUAGAAACAUGCUCAUUCGGAAAGGAAUUUUACAGAGCUUAAAAAGUGUCACAAACAUCAAGUUGGGAAGAAAAGCAUUCAUUGAUGCAAACGGGAUGAAAAUUCUGUACAACACCUCACAAGAAUGCUUGGCGGUCAGGACUCUUGAUCCUCUUGUCAACACCUCUAGUCUGAUAAUGAGGAAGUGUUUCCCCAAAAACCGAUUGCCGCUCCCAACCAUCAAAAGUUCUUUCCACUUCCAGUUGCCAGUGAUCCCUGUGACUGGACCCGUGGCUCAGCUCUACAGCUUACCCCCUGAAGUGGAUGACGUGGUCGAUGAAAGUGACGACAAUGACGACGCUGAUUUAGAAGCUGAAAAUGAAGUAGAAAAUGAAGAUGACCUAGAUCAGAAUUUUAAGAAUGAUGAUAUUGAAACAGAUAUUAACAAAUUAAAACCACAGCAAGUGCCAGGACGAACAAUAGAAGAACUAAAAAUGUAUGAACACCUCUUUCCUGAGCUUGUUGAUGAUUUUCAGGACUAUGAAUUAAUCUCUAAAGAACCCAAACCUUUUGUGUUUGAGGGGAAAGUUCGAGGCCCUAUUGUUGUUCCUACAGCUGGAGAGGAAGCAUCUGGGAAUUCAGGUAGUGUAAAGAAAGGAGGUGUAAUGAAGGAGAAAGUGUCUCCUAAGGGAGAAGAAGCCAAGGACGAAGUCAAAGGCAGUGACAGGACACUGCCACAGCAGCUGGGUGGUCAGAACAGAACUGCUUCUUCAGUUCACACAUUCAGCAGUGACAUUGUGAAGGCUUUAGACCGAAUCACAUUGCAGAAUGUUCCUUCACAAGUAGCCCCAGGCUUGACUGCAGGAGUAAGGAAGGACUGUGGUCUCCCUCUCACUGUCCUCUCAUGCACGAAAGCAUGUCCACAUGUGGCAACGUGUGGAAGUACUCUGUUUGAAGGGCGGACAGUACAGCUUGGGAAACUGUGCUGUACUGGAGUUGAAACUGAGGAGGACGACGACAGUGGGUCCAACUCAUCAGCAGAGCAGCCCGCCUCUGUCGAUGGCCCCGAUGGACCAACACUCCACGACUCAGACCUCUACAUUGAGAUUGUGAAAAAUACCAAGUCUGUUCCAGAAUAUUCAGAGGUGGCUUAUCCUGAUUAUUUUGGUCACAUUCCACCUCCAUUCAAAGAGCCUAUUUUAGAAAGGCCUUAUGGUGUACAGAGGACAAAAAUUGCCCAAGAUAUUGAGAGGCUGAUUCACCAGAAUGAUAUCAUAGACCGGGUGGUGUAUGACUUAGACAACCCUAACUAUGCCACUCCAGAAGAAGGAGAUAUUUUGAAGUUUAACUCAAAAUUUGAAUCUGGGAAUCUGCGCAAAGUAAUUCAAAUUAGAAAAAGCGAGUAUGACCUUAUUCUGAACUCGGACAUAAACAGUAACCAUUAUCACCAGUGGUUCUACUUCGAAGUCAGUGGGAUGCGGCCCGGUGUUGCGUACAGGUUCAACAUCAUCAACUGUGAGAAGUCCAACAGCCAGUUUAAUUAUGGUAUGCAGCCACUUAUGUAUUCAGUUCAGGAAGCUCUAAAUGCCAGACCAUGGUGGAUUCGUAUGGGUACUGACAUUUGUUACUACAAAAAUCACUUCUCAAGAAGUUCAGUUGCUGCAGGUGGACAGAAGGGAAAGUCCUACUAUACAAUUACAUUCACUGUGAACUUUCCACAUAAAGAUGAUGUUUGCUAUUUUGCCUAUCACUAUCCAUAUACAUAUUCAACUCUGCAGAUGCACCUUCAAAAAUUGGAAUCAGCACACAAUCCUCAGCAAAUUUACUUUCGAAAAGAUGUGCUGUGUGAAACCUUGUCUGGAAACAGCUGUCCCCUGGUGACCAUCACAGCAAUGCCAGAGUCCAGUUACUAUGAACAUGUCUGUCAGUUCAGAAAUCGCCCUUACAUUUUUUUGUCUGCUCGGGUCCAUCCUGGAGAAACUAAUGCAAGCUGGGUCAUGAAAGGAACACUGGAGUACCUCAUGAGUAAUAGCCCUACCGCCCAGAGCUUACGGGAGUCCUACAUUUUUAAAAUUGUCCCUAUGCUAAAUCCAGAUGGAGUCAUCAAUGGAAAUCACCGCUGCUCUUUAAGUGGAGAGGAUUUGAACAGACAGUGGCAAAGUCCAAACCCAGAUUUACACCCUACGAUUUACCAUGCAAAGGGACUGCUCCAGUAUCUGGCUGCAGUGAAGCGCUUGCCUCUGGUGUAUUGUGAUUACCAUGGCCAUUCUCGGAAAAAGAAUGUGUUUAUGUAUGGCUGCAGCAUCAAAGAGACAGUGUGGCAUACCCAUGACAAUGCAGCUUCCUGUGAUGUUGUGGAAGACAUGGGAUACAGGACUCUGCCUAAGAUACUGAGCCACAUUGCUCCAGCAUUCUGCAUGAGCAGCUGUAGUUUUGUGGUGGAAAAAUCCAAAGAGUCCACAGCUCGGGUUGUAGUGUGGCGGGAAAUAGGAGUUCAAAGGAGCUAUACCAUGGAGAGCACUCUAUGUGGCUGCGAUCAGGGGAGAUACAAAGGUUUACAGAUUGGGACUCGAGAAUUGGAAGAAAUGGGAGCAAAAUUUUGUGUUGGUUUAUUGCGUUUGAAAAGACUGACUUCUCCAUUGGAAUAUAAUCUGCCCUCCAACAUGCUUGACUUUGAAAAUGACUUAAUUGAAUCAAGCUGUAAAGUAACUAGAGCCCUAAAAGCGACAAGGAAGUUGGCAAGAUCAGGAGAUGACUCAGAAAUGUGAAAAGCCAGAAGAAUAGAGGUGGGACUCUCCAAGAAUUGUUGUGGAGACAGAUCAUGGUGACAAAACAGGGGACUCGAGUGUGUGUGUACAGAUGACAGGAAGCUCUGGAAAGAGAUGGAAGAGACCACGACAGACACUCUCAAGAAAAACCUGGCACACACAAGUGGGAGUACCCGCAGGUGGUUAAGAGUGGAGAUGUCACCAUUAAAACCCCCCAAAGCUUCCGGGUCAGUCUUGCAGGAUUUAUGGACUCAGCCCACACCUGAAACUUGUGCAUCUAAAAUGUAAAACCUCCAGCAAUUAAGAGAUAAAGGGUACAGUCCGAUGAUCUGAGAAGGAUUUUGGAUAUAUUUUUUGUGAAUUCUACUUUUUAAAGUAAUUUAAAAUUUUUGGUGUUAGGAUAGAAUAGAGGGCUUCACAUGUGUCUAGUAUGUGCUCUUACCAUUGAUGAGCAGCCGUAGGCCAGGCCUGUGAAUUUGAGAAUUAAAAGUAUUUUAUUCAGUUAUAUUUUUACACAGCAUAUAAUUCACCCACUUCAAGUGCACAAUCCAAUGAUUUUUUUUUAAAAAGACUUAUUUACUUUUUAAUUUUAUGUUAAUAGAUGUUUGACUGCAUAUAUGUAUGUGUAUCACAUUUGUACAGUGCACAUGGAAGCCAGAAGAGGGCAUUAGAUCCCUUGGAACCAGAGUUAGAGAUGCUUGUAAUCCAUCAUGUAGGUGCUGGGGAUCGAACCCAAGUUCUCUGGAAGAGCAGUCAGUGUCUUAACUCCUUAGCUGCUUCUCUAGCCCUCGAUGAGUUUUUGAAAAGUAGAUAUACAACUGUACAAACACGGUCAGUUCUGGACCAUUUUCGCCACUCUUCUGUCUCACACUUACUUACUGUUAAGCCUGUCCCUGUUUCCUACACUCCAGUGACCAUUGCUCUGCACUGUCCCUGUAGAUUUACCUUUUCUGAACAUUGAUACAAAUGGGACCACAUAACAUUUUCCUGCUUUGCUUAGCAAAACAUUUUAGAGGUCCACCCGUAUGUCAUGUGAUUCUUCUUUUGUUGAAUGAUGUUCCGUUGGGUGGGUAGAUGGAUAGACCACAUCAUAAUGCAGACUUGCUGGUUGAUGGAGAUUCAAGGCAGCUCAGUGAGAUCUUUGUGUAGGGAAAGACUUAACAUCUCAAAUAAAAAGAUUUGUCUUGAU